rnacentral:miRNA from 1 species
CGAGGAAGAUCUUGUGGCAA